rnacentral:sRNA from 1 species
CAACAACGGAAAGGAGGUGGUCCUGUGUCUAAUUGUUCCAAGCCGCGAUCCACGAUCGUCGAGACCAGGGUCUUCGCCUCCGGCGGAACCCAGCUUCUGUAAGAAGUCGUAUCGUGAUCUGAAAAGGAUCGUGGUUUGACAAUGGAAAGGCCGCCCUUCGGGGCGGCCUU